UACGGAGGGUGCAAGCGUUAUCCGGAUUCACUGGGUUUAAAGGGUGCGUAGGUGGGCUAGUAAGUCCGUGGUGAAAUCUCCGGGCUUAACUCGGAAACUGCCGUUGAUACUCUCUGUCUUGAAUCCCGUGGAGGUGAGCGGAAUAUGUCAUGUAGCGGUGAAAUGCUUAGAUAUGACAUAGAACACCAAUUGCGAAGGCAGCUCGCUACACGAAUAUUGACUCUGAGGCACGAAAGCGUGGGGAUCAAACAGG
rnacentral:rRNA from 1 species